ACGUACACUCCUACGGGAGGCAGCAGUGGGGAAUAUUGGACAAUGGGCGCAAGCCUGAUCCAGCCAUGCCGCGUGAGUGAUGAAGGCCCUAGGGUUGUAAAGCUCUUUCACCGGUGAAGAUAAUGACGGUAACCGGAGAAGAAGCCCCGGCUAACUUCGUGCCAGCAGCCGCGGUAAUACGAAGGGGGCUAGCGUUGUUCGGAUUUACUGGGCGUAAAGCGCACGUAGGCGGACUAUUAAGUCAGAGGUGAAAUCCCGGGGCUCAACCCCGGAACUGCCUUUGAUACUGGUAGUCUUGAGUUCGAGAGAGGUGAGUGGAAUUCCGAGUGUAGAGGUGAAAUUCGUAGAUAUUCGGAGGAACACCAGUGGCGAAGGCGGCUCACUGGCUCGAUACUGACGCUGAGGUGCGAAAGCGUGGGGAGCAAACAGGAUUAGAAACCCUUGUAGUCCCAUGA
rnacentral:rRNA from 1 species